rnacentral:rRNA from 1 species
AAUUUAAACGGCUACACCUAAAAUUAUUUCUUAAUCCAACAUCGAGGUCGCAAUCUUUUUUAUCGAUAUGAACUCUCCAAAAAAAUUACGCUGUUAUCCCUAGAGUAACUUAAAUUUUUAAUCAUUAAAAAUGGAUCAUUUAUUCAUAAAUCAAUGACUUAAAUUUUAAAAGUUAUUUAAAUUUUAAUAUCACCCCAAUAAAAUAUAUUAUUAAUAUUAUAAUUAAAAUAAUCCACAAAAUUAAAAUAUAAUAUAUAUAAAGAUUCAUAGGGUCUUCUCGUCUUUUAAAUUCAUUUUAGCUUUUUGACUAAAAAAUAAAAUUCUAUUAUAAAUUUAAAUGAAACAGUUAAUAUUUCGUCCAACCAUUCAUUCCAGCCUUCAAUUAAAAGACUAAUGAUUAUGCUACCUUUGCACAGUUAAUAUACUGCGGCCAUUUAAAAAAAAUUCAGUGGGC